GACGAACGCUGGCGGCGUGCUUAACACAUGCAAGUCGAACGGAAAGGCCCCCUUUUGGGGUACUCGAGUGGCGAACGGGGGAGUAACACGUGGGUAACCUACCCUUGACUUUGGGAUAACUUCAGGAAACUGGGGCGAAUACCGGAUAGGAGCUCCUGCUGCAUGGUGGUGGGUGGAAAGUUUCGGCGGUUGGGGAUGGACUCGCGGCUUAUCAGCUUGUUGGUGGGGUAGUGGCUCACCAAGGCUUUGACGGGUAGCCGGCCUGAGAGGGUGACCGGCCACAUUGGGACUGAGAUACGGCCCAGACUCCUACGGGAGGCAGCAGUGGGGAAUAUUGCACAAUGGGCGGAAGCCUGAUGCAGCAACGCCGCGUGCGGGAUGACGGCCUUCGGGUUGUAAACCGCUUUCGCCUGUGACGAAGCGUGAGUGACGGUAAUGGGUAAAGAAGCACCGGCUAACUACGUG
rnacentral:rRNA from 1 species